rnacentral:rRNA from 1 species
UACGAAGGGGGCUAGCGUUGUUCGGAAUUACUGGGCGUAAAGGGCGUGUAGGCGGCCCGUUAAGACAGGUGUGAAAUUCCUGGGCUCAACCCAGGACGUGCGCCUGUGACUGGCGGGCUUGAGUCCGGGAGAGGAUGGUGGAACUCCCAGAGUAGAGGUGAAAUUCGUAGAUAUUGGGAAGAACACCCGUGGCGAAGGCGGCCAUCUGGACCGGUACUGACGCUAAGGCGCGACAGCGUGGGGAGCAAACGGG